CCCGCCCCUCGCUAGGCUGCACCGCCCGCCCCGCUUCCGCCCCAUCCCUCUCCAGGCCGCGCCUCCGCCUCCGGCCCGCCCUCGUCUCCGCCCCUGCGGGGGCUGCUCGUUAGGCCCCGCCCUGCACCCCCGUCACCCACGCCGCGCGACCCGCAGCCGCCGCCAGGGCCCUCUGCUGCCGCGGAGGUGCUAGGACAGCCGCGGACGGCCCGCCUCCCCGUGCCCCGGGCCUCGAGGCCAAUAAAAAGCUCGCCCCUCCAGCUCACCGGGUCCGACGGGUACGGUACAAAGUGCUGUCUCUCGCCACAGCCACCUUUGUGACAAUAAAAGCAAUAAGGCUAAUGUCCAUGGGGCGCUCACGUUUAUGCAUGAACAGAGAAAGCUGAGAUACGGAGACUAGUGAUCCGUCGAGGUAAUAAACGGCACAGGUGGGGUUUGAACUCCAUCAGUUUGAUUGCAGAGGCCUGGAACAACCCUACAGCCUUCUCUCAGAUCUUUUCUGGACCUUUUUCUAUGCGCUUUGCACCUAGGACGUGAGGCUGCCAAGCUUGGUAUUCAAUAAAUAUUGAUGGAUGAAGGAACAAUGGAAGAAAGGAGUGCAUGGGUAAACAAAUGACAAAUAUGUCAAAGCACGGAUGCAGAUUCUUAGAAUGGGCUAAUGCUGUUUUCUGCUGGAUUUUUGGAUGUGUACAAACGAGUUCUCUCACAAUACAGAUCCACAGUGUCUGGGUCAGAGGAGAACUGAUGCUCCGCAUGGCAUUUUACCAUCCUGCCUGCCUGCCUGGGGCCCUGGGCCCACAGGCUUUGGGGAGAGUGUAUGGCCAGGCUGCAGCCUUCCUGGGAUAAAGCUCUGCCUUUUAGUCUCUUAUCCUACUUUUUAGAAGCCCUUUAAGGUCUUUGUUAAAGGAAAUCUAAUGUGAAGAAUUCCAGGAGAACUGGAUAAGCCUGACUAUGGGUGGGCGUGACUGAAUUACUUCCCGGGCUGGCUAAGGAAGGCCUCCCCCGAAGUGCAUCGGAAGCCUGCAGCUUCUCCUUAUGGCCACUGGAGGGCACUUGGACCAUGAAAUACCAGAUCGUCUCGGCGUCCCAGGUCUUUGGAAAUGUGUGAUUCAAUUCAGCAAACGUUUCAAAAUCAUCACUAUAAAGAUAGCGCUUUUGUGUUGAACAUCCAAUAUGGCGCUAAACACCUUAUAUAUAUGUGUGCGUGUAUAUAUGAACUUGCUUAAUAUUAACUACAAUUGUUGUGAGUUACUUAGGCUAUUUAGGAAAAAAAAAUCAAGGCUUAAAGAAGUCAAAGUACUUACCCAAGAUUGCUUAGCUAAAUAAAAUUUGGGAGUAAGGACUUGAACUCAAGCCCUUGGGCACCAACCAUAAGCAAUAGGUGCACACAAAGCUGAAAUGAGGACUCUCUUAUAAGCAGGAAGACGCACACACCACACAAAUAUUAUUGUUCCUCAACAAUUUACACAUUCUGAAAUUGGAAGAUGACUUACAAUUUGUACAUUACAUGGUAAUGUUUCUUUUUUCCCUUGAAAUGAUGUUAUUAAAUAAAUGAAGUGUCUCACAAUUCAUGGUGUCUUAACUUGGAGGAAAUAAAGUCAUAGUAAUACAAGGCAGGGAAAGAUAAUUUUCAUUUAACAUUUAAAUAGCACUUACUAUGUCCCCAGA
rnacentral:lncRNA from 1 species